GGAAUAUUGGUCAAUGGACGCAAGUCUGAACCAGCCAUGCCGCGUGCAGGAUGACGGUCCUAUGGAUUGUAAACUGCUUUUGUACAGGAAGAAACAACUCUACGUGUAGAGUCUUGACGGUACUGUAAGAAUAAGGAUCGGCUAACUCCGUGCCAGCAGCCGCGGUAAUACGGAGGAUCCAAGCGUUAUCCGGAAUCAUUGGGUUUAAAGGGUCCGUAGGCGGUUUAGUAAGUCAGUGGUGAAAGCCCAUCGCUCAACGGUGGAACGGCCAUUGAUACUGCUAAACUUGAAUUAUUAGGAAGUAACUAGAAUAUGUAGUGUAGCGGUGAAAUGCUUAGAGAUUACAUGGAAUACCAAUUGCGAAGGCAGGUUACUACUAAUUGAUUGACGCUGAUGGACGAAAGCGUGGGUAGCGAACAGGAUUAGAUACCCCUG
rnacentral:rRNA from 1 species